CUCUUUCCUCUUUCUGAUCUUAGUACAACUCUCCACUUUUCUUCACAAAACAUGAGAACUACAAAUUGCUUUCCUCUCUCUUCAUAAGUCUGUCUUUCCUUGGGGCUAUCUGGAGGAAGAAACAGCCUGCCUUAAUGCUGGGGAUUAACCAGGUGUUCUGAGCACAAUGCUGCUGAGGGUCUCUAGAAAUUUAAGCAUUAUAUAUAUUGAAUAAAGGCAUUACUUGAACGUACAGAUGGUACACAGUUAUCUACCAUCUGAAUGAGAUGCCUGCCUUAUUUACAAAGUGCCUUGUGUUUGGUAUGAGCUGUACGUAUGAGAGCAGCACUGGAUAAAACAGGUUUUCCUCUCUAAUAGCUUCUUACAGGUUUGAGAAUGAGAUUUUCUGCCCUUUCUUUCAUCUGCCUAACUCCCCCCCUCCAAGAAAGAGGCAAGCACUUUGGAAGAGUCUGCAG